ensembl:lncRNA
GGAGAGGCGGCAGAGUGUCUGGUCGGCCGAGUUCAAAAGGGAGUAAUGAGGGAGCAGCUUUGAAGUGCAGGGAGCACAGAACAUCGAGGAGAAGACCACCUCCAUUGGAGCUCGGGUUCUAAGUGGGUCAGAUGGAUGUCCCUCUGGUGUGAGCUGUGCAUCUUGUUUCAUUGCUACUGGAGCAGGCGAAUAUCCUCCGGGCCAGCGGGUUUAUUGCGUGUCACAGCCUGUGAGAUGGGAAUACAGUCUUUGCUGCAUCUGUUGCAGACAAUAUACCUUUUGAUCAACUGCACGACAGCCAUCUCCAGACUUCUUUUCAUUCCUCUUUUCAUGCACAAGUUCAGAGAGAAGCGUAUCUAUACAAAUAUAUGUAUAUUAUCAGCACUGCUGACCGAAAGAAAGUAUCUUUUAAAUCAUCCUUCAGUUUAGACCUUUCUUUCCUUUUGCAAUUAGUUCAAAAUGCACAAGUGUGGAAUUCAAAGUGUUAUGCAGGAUUCUUUAUCACAUGCUUGAUGUUUCAUCUCACAGCAGCCUGUUGGUGAAGAUGCUACUUGUUUCAGGAUUUGAUCAAAAUCUUCUUUGCUUGUGUUAUUAAAAAAAAAAACAUGUAAUUACUGUAUCUUCUUUUGAUCCAGAAUGCACUUAAAAGUGCAGAAUGUAUGGUAUUAUGUUACAUGGUUUUACAUUAUAUUAUGGCUGUCGGACCAUGAUGAACCACAGAUGGUAAUUCAUUAUCAAUUUGACAACACAGGUUUGAUUUAUUCAAUUCACUGGCCAACGUUUUUAGUCUUUUGGCUGGAGCAGGCUCGGUUUUAAAGCUAGAGUGAAGACACAGGUUUAUUUAUAACUCUCCAACUAGAAAAUAUUUAUAUAUAUAUAUUUCUUUAUAUAUAUAUAUAUAUAUAUAUAUAUAUAUAUAUAUAUAUAUAUAUAUAUAUAAAGAAUAUGACAUUGUGAAAACAUUGACCUCGGUAAUUUAGAAGCAAAUCUGUAUCACAGUAUCAAACCCAAAAUAUUCCGUAUAAUCGACAUGCAUGGUGUCAUAAUAAUUAUGCAUUUCAUCUGUAACACACUUUUCAUUCAAAAGAGUGUCACAGAGCAAAGUAUGCUCGUCAUCCAGAUAGUAUAGUAUGUUAAGUGCAUAUUAACAGUACAUAGCCUUCAGCUUUUUUCUAACGCCACUAUUAUUUUUAUUUAUUAUUUAAUAAUAUAUUUAUUAUUUUUAUUUGUUUAAUCCAUCCUGCUGUGUUCCUGAGUCCAUCUCUGUCCAUUGUCUCCUGAAUUCUUCCCAUUUCUCCCUCUUGCUCCAACCAGUAUCUGACCGGUCUGCCGAGACAACCGGUCCAGCGGUGCUGAUGGGUCUGCUGCUUCCCUGCUCGCAUCCCCAUUGCAUGGCAGCGAGCUUGCGGUGCUGGAACUGCUAACAAGCAGGAAAGCGAGACCUCCAACCAGCUUAGAGUGGAGCUGACCUGAAUUUACAUUAAGCAUCCAUUCACAAUGUGGCUGCAUGUGAUAUUGUGUGAUUUAUUCUCAUAUCACACAUAUACUGCACUAUAAUACUAAUAAAUAAUAUCUAGCAGAGGAAUUUGGCGUUGCUCACCAAAAGCUCAGAUCAUGGUUAACUGAAUUCAAUACAUAGCCCCGUGACAUUGAGGCAAGAGUCCAAAUACUGUGUUCAGUUUUUUUUCUUUUCUGCAGUGAAACAGCAAUCAUUUUCUUCUAUAUUGAAUUCAAUCAAAAAUUGGUUUAAAUAAUAUUUCCAAGACAGACUACUUUGGUAAGAUACAAUUGUACUUACUUCACUACAUAAAGGCCCCAUCUUCCGCCCAGCGUAGUUGUCAUCUUCCUGUCCGGUGCCCUAGUUGUGUCAGUAACGAAUGUACUUGCUGUGAUCUGUGCACCGAUGGUCUAAUCCGUACUACGGCCCAAAUGCAAUUAAAAGAACUUUCACAGUUAAACCAUCCGAAGGGUAGUUGGAAACAUUAUGAACACAGUUGUCACCGUGCUCUAAAGAUUUUUUUUUUAAAAGGGUCCCCACAGUUACUUUGUAUAUUCAGCUUUAACUGCUUACUUUGCACCAACAAGUUACUAAUAUUUAAAAAUUUUGCUAUCAAACCAGAAACUUUUUUACCUUGCCGCAUUCACAUGGCGACAGCUGAACCAAAUCCGAGACAUUUUCACCGUUCUUUAUAAUGAGGAGCCGGGUUUGACGCCAAACAAAGGGAAAGCAUUAGAAUUACACACCUGGUAUUAAUGUGGCUGCUAAUAAUAGCAUGAAAGAGGAAGAAGCAUUGGAGAGAAGACAGGCAAGGCAAUGGAGGGUAAAAGAGGGACUGGGGGAAGAUUGGGGGGGGAACCCAAAGAAAAGGAAAAAGCCACAGUAAUGAAAAGAGAAGGAGCAGUGUUUGUCAGGGGAGCAGACGCGACGCCGAGCAGUGCUGGUGCCAGUGUCACGGUGUGGUUCACUUCCUGUCUUAUUUUGUAGUUUUCUGCCACUCGUGUCCCCGGGUAACUUCACUUCCUGCCUUGUCCUGUCAUCCCCUGUGAUUGUCGAAUUGUUUCCACCUGCACCUCCCUAGUGUAUUUAAGCCGUGUGUGUUGUUUGUCACUUGUGGCGUCAUUGUCUUUUGUCCUGGAGGUUCCUCGGUCCUGCCAGCCUUUUUCCCCCCUGGUACAUGCAUGUGUUUUUUGCCCGUUGGCCUUUUGCUUUGUUGGAGUUUGUUGCUUCAAAGUCUGCGUUUGAGUCCUGCCUUCCUACCCAACCCCGACAGCCAGCUGCACGUUGGAGAAGCGACCUUUUGCCUCUUUACUUCACUCCCUUGCAGUCUUUCACCUUUCCCCUUGACUUGGUUCUUUCCUGCCUCAUACUGUCUGACUGCAUGUCAAAAAACACCACACAGUCUUACAAGCAUGCAGGGGGACAAACCGCAUGCGGCAGCUUCAGAAUGGGCUCCCUGAGGGCCCCAUCCCAUCAGCCUCCAUAAUCAAUGGAGGCUUCAGGGGGAGCGAAGCUCCGGCUUUAAGGAGGAAAUGAACAGGCUAUGGACACCUGCCAAGUCGACAUAAUAAAAAUACAAAUGAAGUUAAUUGCAAAGGCUUCGGAUGGAGGAGAAAAGAUCACGUUAAAGAAAUCAAUGAAACCUCCCUAUAUUCUGUUUGUGCGAUGGAGGCUGCAGCACACUAUACGGCCCAUCAAGGCUCACAGCAGAGUCAGGUAUUUAUUAGGUGAAUAUCGUGUGACACUUUUCUGAUUCUGGGCAUCAGCCUGUUAUGAUACGUCCCGCGGUUUUGUAUGUGAACGGCGUUAACGUGCAGGACAGCUGUGCUGCUGGAGCAUUGAGCGGCCCCGUUGAUCUGUCUCCCCAUACACGGAUAAUGAUUUCUCCUGCUGAUGGAGGGUCUAACCUUGAGUCCUCCAAGGCCUUGCUCUGAAGAAUGAAGAGGACGUGUCUCGGGGAAAAUGAGCUCUAUUCUGCUCCUGAUGGUUAUUGUCACUUGGCAUGGUAUCUCCAAAGAUGCAUGUGUGAAUGCUGAACAAAAGGAGAAGUAAGCAACAUGGAAAUACACUGUGUACUUGUUAUUGAAAGCUUCAGAUUACUUUCCCAAUAGCCCUGCUUCUAUUAUCAUUAAUGAUACCUAUUUGGUGUCCGUGCUGUGUCUUCCUGGUCUCGUUUUUUCAUAAUAACAAUGAUGUCCAAAUAAGGAAGAGUGAAAAUACCUACUGAGAAAGUGCAUGGCCUUGUCUCCUAAAGUAUACGUUACUAUAUAACUCAUCUGCAUUGUCUGUUGCCUUUCAAGACUGUUUGUCUUUGAGGUUUAACAAUGAGUAAUUAGUCUGCACAAAGUCAUGGAAAGCGUGUUCCCUGUUUUGAG